GAUGAACGCUGGCGGCGUGCCUAAUACAUGCAAGUCGAGCGAACGGACGAGAAGCUUGCUUCUCUGAUGUUAGCGGCGGACGGGUGAGUAACACGUGGAUAACCUACCUAUAAGACUGGGAUAACUUCGGGAAACCGGAGCUAAUACCGGAUAAUAUUUUGAACCGCAUGGUUUAAAAGUGAAAGACGGUCUUGCUGUAACUUAUAGAUGGAUCCGCGCUGCAUUAGCUAGUUGGUAAGGUAACGGCUUACCAAGGCAACGAUGCAUAGCCGACCUGAGAGGGUGAUCGGCCACACUGGAACUGAGACACGGUCCAGACUCCUACGGGAGGCAGCAGUAGGGAAUCUUCCGCAAUGGGCGAAAGCCUGACGGAGCAACGCGGCGUGAUUGAUGAAGGUCUUCGGAUCGUAAAACUCUGUUAUUAGGGAAGAACAUAUGUGUAAGUAACUGUGCACUUCUUGACGGUACCUAAUCAGAAAGCCACGGCUAACUACGUG
rnacentral:rRNA from 1 species